UGAAAUUCCGUCGGAAUCUGGGAGGACCAUCUCCUAAGGCUAAAUACUCUCUAGUGACCGAUAGUGAACCAGUACCGUGAGGGAAAGGUGAAAAGCACCCCGGAAGGGGAGUGAAAUAGAACCUGAAACCGUGUGCUUACAAGUAGUCAGAGCCCGUUAAUGGGUGAUGGCGUGCCUUUUGUAGAAUGAACCGGCGAGUUACGAUUUGAUGCAAGGUUAAGCAGUAAAUGUGGAGCCGUAGCGAAAGCGAGUCUGAAUAGGGCGUUUAGUAUUUGGUCGUAGACCCGAAACCAGGUGAUCUACCCUUGGUCAGGUUGAAGUUCAGGUAACACUGAAUGGAGGACCGAACCGACUUACGUUGAAAAGUGAGCGGAUGAACUGAGGGUAGCGGAGAAAUUCCAAUCGAACCUGGAGAUAGCUGGUUCUCUCCGAAAUAGCUUUAGGGCUAGCCUCAAGUGAUGAUUAUUGGAGGUAGAGCACUGUUUGGACGAGGGGCCCCUCUCGGGUUACCGAAUUCAGACAAACUCCGAAUGCCAAUUAAUUUAACUUGGGAGUCAGAACAUGGGUGAUAAGGUCCGUGUUCGAAAGGGAAACAGCCCAGACCACCAGCUAAGGUCCCAAAAUAUAUGUUAAGUGGAAAAGGAUGUGGCGUUGCCCAGACAACUAGGAUGUUGGCUUAGAAGCAGCCAUCAUUUAAAGAGUGCGUAAUAGCUCACUAGUCGAGUGACACUGCGCCGAAAAUGUACCGGGGCUAAACAUAUUACCGAAGCUGUGGAUUGUCCUUUGGACAAUGGUAGGAGAGCGUUCUAAGGGCGUUGAAGCAUGAUCGUAAGGACAUGUGGAGCGCUUAGAAGUGAGAAUGCCGGUGUGAGUAGCGAAAGACGGGUGAGAAUCCCGUCCACCGAUUGACUAAGGUUUCCAGAGGAAGGCUCGUCCGCUCUGGGUUAGUCGGGUCCUAAGCUGAGGCCGACAGGCGUAGGCGAUGGAUAACAGGUUGAUAUUCCUGUACCACCUAUAAUCGUUUUA
rnacentral:rRNA from 1 species